rnacentral:lncRNA from 1 species
GGAAGCCGCCGGGGCCGCCUAGAGAAGAGGCUGUGCUUCGGCGCUCCGGCUCCUCAGAGAGCCUCGGCUAGGUGUGGAAACAGGAAGAGAACUAGAACUGGAAGUAAAGCAUUGAAGAUGUGACUGAAUUGCUGCAAUCUCAUGAUCAAAUUUGAAUGGAUGAGGAGUUGCUUUUUAGGGAUGAGCAAAGAAAGUGGUUUCUCGAGAUGGAAUCUACUGGUUGCUCCUUGAGGGCAGGACAGUUCUUAUGGCUUUAUCCGUUGCGUAAGCACAGAGAGGUCUGCGAGGUCAAAACUAUUGUCAUGAUAGCAAGAUGCCUGUCUUUUUCAUUUAUUCUCACGGUGUGCAGAGGCUACAUGAUGUGUGAUGACAUCCUCAUUGAUGUUAAUGAAUGGUGCUAUACUUGAAUUUUCUAAGGUGUCAUUAGGUAGGUUUAGGUAUGCAUACUUGUUUUUAGAAAUUAUUUUUUUCCUUUUUCCCAUUUUUAGAAAUCAACUCAUUUUUUAGGUUAUGCCUUCAGUAAUCUUUGCAACCUCAAUAUUGUGUAAUGGUUACUUUAAAAUACUGUAGUUUUCUUUGUGCCUAAGUAUAAACAUAAGUACAUUUUGUUGUUUUGUUUGCAAUAGUGGUUUAAAUAUUUUCCCAAAAUAUCCAAAUUUAAAAAUUCUACAACUUUAGAAUUUAAUAAAUUUAUUCUAAAAUAUUUAUAUAUUUUUUCAUUUAAGAAUGGAUCGGCUUAAAAAGACUGCUUCUCAUUUACUUACUGGCUAUACCAUCUGUAUACUAAUAAAAAACAAGAUUUGAUUUGGAAGGACUGACUCAAACUAACGAAAAUAUGAAACCUGUCUUUCUGCUUUGGAGAUAUUUACCUAAUCAUGUUCUGCAGUAGAAUAAUUUAGUUCUUUUGUCUUUUUUUGGAGAUGAGGUCUUGCUGUGUUGCCCAGGCUAUUCACAGCUGCCAUCAUAGUGAACUACAGCCUGAAACUCCUGGGUUCAAGAGAUCCUUCUGCCUCAGCCUCCUGAGUAGCUGGAACUAUAGGCAUGCGCCACCAAGCCUGGGCUUUUAAAAAAAUUUUAAAAAGAAUUUUGAGACAGGAUCUUGCCAUGUUGCUCAGGCUAGUCUUCAACUCCUAGCCCUGAGUGAUCUUGCUUUGGGCCUCUCAAAAUGUUGAGUUAAUAGGCGUGAGCCACCAUACCCAGCCAAAAAUUUUUUUAGAGAUGGGAAUGGAAUGAUCUUGAAUAGUGUUGGUGCCACCUAUGUUGUGGCAUCAUUUUGAAACCAAUCAUUCAGAGUGCUUUUUUUGGUAAGGCAUUAUUUUUUAAUGCAGGUAUGCCACUACUGGGAAAAAAAAAAAAACAGGUUUUAAAGCUAGAAAUGAAAAGCUACUUAAGUAUCUUAAAGGAUAAGUUACUUUAUUAUACACUAGAAACAUACACAAUAGCUGAAAAACUUAAAAAAUCUCACACUGCUGAAUGUCUCUGCUGGCUGAAGUGUAAGUAAAAGAUCAUAGUAGUGCCGCUGUUGAGUGAUAAAGCAACUUGUCAUUAAAGAUGUGUGUGCAGACAUGGAUUCUGAGUUAAUAUCUCAUCUGUAGAAGUAUAUAUUUGUCCCUUGCUUUGGGAUUGGUUUCUGGACAGCACUCCCCCACCCUUGCUGGCCAUUUGCCAAGGACACCAAAACCCAAGGAUGUUGAAUUCCCUUUUAUAAAAUGGCGCUGUAUCUGCAUACAACUUACACACAUCCUCCCAUAUACUUUAAAUCAUUUCCAGAUUUCUUAUACUUCAUACAAUGUGAAUGCUAUAUAAAUAGUUGUUACAUUGUGUACUUAUAUUUGUACUAUUGUAUUAAAUAUUCUCAAAUAUUUUCAAGCAAAAAA